rnacentral:pre_miRNA from 1 species
AGUUUUGCUGUUUUGUAUUACAGGAGGAAAUUACCUGUGCAAAUCGAUGCAAAACUAA